AGGGGACUUCGCAUGGACGAAGUCUGACGGAGCACGCCGCGUGAGUGAUGAAGGUUUUCGGAUCGUAAAGCUCUGUUGUUAGGGAAGAACAAGUGCCGUUCAAAUAGGGCGGCACCUUGACGGUACCUAACCAGAAAGCCACGGCUAACUACGUGCCAGCAGCCGCGGUAAUACGUAGGUGGCAAGCGUUGUCCGGAAUUAUUGGGCGUAAAGGGCUCGCAGGCGGUUUCUUAAGUCUGAUGUGAAAGCCCCCGGCUCAACCGGGGAGGGUCAUUGGAAACUGGGGAACUUGAGUGCAGAAGAGGAGAGUGGAAUUCCACGUGUAGCGGUGAAAUGCGUAGAGAUGUGGAGGAACACCAGUGGCGAAGGCGACUCUCUGGUCUGUAACUGACGCUGAGGAGCGAAAGCGUGGGGAGCGAACAGGAUUAGAUACCCUGGUAGUCCACGCCGUAAACGAUGAGUGCUAAGUGUUAGGGGGUUUCCGCCCCUUAGUGCUGCAGCUAACGCAUUAAGCACUCCGCCUGGGGAGUACGGUCGCAAGACUGAAACUCAAAGGAAUUGACGGGGGCCCGCACAAGCGGUGGAGCAUGUGGUUUAAUUCGAAGCAACGCGAAGAACCUUACCAGGUCUUGACAUCCUCUGACAAUCCUAGAGAUAGGACGUCCCCUUCGGGGGCAGAGUGACAGGUGGUGCAUGGUUGUCGUCAGCUCGUGUCGUGAGAUGUUGGGUUAAGUCCCGCAACGAGCGCAACCCUUGAUCUUAGUUGCCAGCAUUCAGUUGGGCACUCUAAGGUGACUGCCGGUGACAAACCGGAGGAAGGUGGGGAUGACGUCAAAUCAUCAUGCCCCUUAUGACCUGGGCUACACACGUGCUACAAUGGACAGAACAAAAGGCAGCGAAACCGCGAGGUUAAGCCAAUCCCACAAAUCUGUUCUCAGUUCGGAUCGCAGUCUGCAACUCGACUGCGUGAAGCUGGAAUCGCUAGUAAUCGCGGAUCAGCAUGCCGCGGUGAAUACGUUCCCAGGUCGUUGUACACACGGCUCGUCACACACGAGAGUUUGUACACCGAAGUCGUGAGGUACCUUUUGAGCAGCCUCCGAGGUGGACAGAUGAUGGGGUGAAGUCGUACACA
rnacentral:rRNA from 1 species